UGGUGCAGCGGGCUGCCUCUGUGCUGGUGAGGGACGUCCCAUGAUGCACCAGGCUCCUCUCUGCUGGGGGAAGUCCCAUGAGGCACCGGGCUCCUCUGUGUUUGGGGACAUCCCAUGAGGCACCGGGCUCCUCUCUGCUGGGGGACGUCCCAUGAUGCACCGGGCUCCUCUGUGUUUGGG